rnacentral:rRNA from 1 species
UGGGGAAUAUUUCACAAUGGGGGAAACCCUGAUGCAGCGACGCCGCGUGAACGAAGAAGGUAUUCGUAUCGUAAAGUUCUGUCCUAUGGGAAGAUAAUGACAGUACCAUAGAAGAAAGCUCCGGCUAAAUACGUGCCAGCAGCCGCGGUAAUACGUAUGGAGCGAGCGUUGUCCGGAAUUAUUGGGCGUAAAGGGUACGCAGGCGGUUUAAUAAGUCGAAUGUUAAAGAUCGGGGCUCAACCCCGUAAAGCAUUGGAAACUGAUAAACUUGAGUAGUGGAGAGGAAAGUGGAAUUCCUUGUGUAGUGGUGAAAUACGUAGAUAUUAGGAGGAAUACCAGUAGCGAAGGCGACUUUCUGGACACAAACUGACGCUGAGGUACGAAAGCGUGGGGAGCAAACAGG